rnacentral:SRP_RNA from 1 species
UGGAAAGAACCCCUGCGGCGCAUCGCUUCGAACCUCGUCAGGUCCGGGAGGAAGCAGCGAUAAGGAGCAGUUUGCGGGUGCCAGGGAUCACUCUUUCCA